rnacentral:ncRNA from 12 species
GGGUGUCCGCUGCAUGCAGCAGUGACAGGUCAAGCGAUGGUCGGGCCGCCACG